UACGGAGGGUGCGAGCGUUGUCCGGAAUCACUGGGCGUAAAGGGCGCGUAGGCGGCCUGAUAAGUAGGGGGUGAAAUCCUGCGGCUUAACCGCAGGGCUGCCUUCUAAACUGUCGGGCUAGAGCACGGUAGAGGCAGAUGGAAUUCCCGGUGUAGCGGUGGAAUGCGUAGAGAUCGGGAAGAACAUCAGUGGCGAAGGCGGUCUGCUGGGCCGUUGCUGACGCUGAGGCGCGACAGCGUGGGGAGCAACAGG
rnacentral:rRNA from 1 species